UGAGUAGCUACACAUGGGGAAGAAGAGAGAGAAAAAAACAGGGCUUAAGACAAGCCAGCAGUGGACUGGUUGGUUGCUUCCCUUCUCCGAGACCCAGCCCCGUGUCUGCCUUACGAGACAACCUGGCCCUCCUACUCCCAGAAGAGGCUGUGUUCUGAGGAGCUGGGUGGCAAGAAAUCAAGCAAAGGAGAGUCUCAGUUUCCCUCUUUGCGAUCUCUGCUUCCUCAGAUGUAAAGAAACAAGUAAGAAAACAAGGAAAAGAUUAUCUAUCAAGCUCUUGCCCUCUGCCAUCUUUAGCCAUUUUUAAACUACACUGCCUGGCAGAAGAGAAGAGCUGAUGGGCCCUAGUUGUAGGAACCAAGGAGACCACCUCAGGAGAUGUCCAAGAAGAGACAAACAGAAUGGAUGGUGGGGUGUGGACAGAUGGGCCUGGGGCUCAGACAGGCACAUGCCCAGUACCCAGGAAACAAUGUUUAAAAAUAC